CGGGUGUAGCUCAGUUGGUUAGAGCGCCGGCCUGUCACGCCGGAGGUCGCGGGUUCGAGCCCCGU
rnacentral:tRNA from 1 species